UACGUAGGGUGCAAGCGUUAAUCGGAAUUACUGGGCGUAAAGCGUGCGCAGGCGGUUAUGUAAGACAGAUGUGAAAUGCCCGGGCUUAACCUGGGAACUGCAUUUGUGACUGCAUGGCUAGAGUUUGGCAGAGGGGGGGUAGAAUUCCACGUGUAGCAGUGAAAUGCGUAGAUAUGUGGGAGGAACACCGAUGGCGAAGGCAGCCCCCUGGGUCAAGACUGACGCUCAUGCA
rnacentral:rRNA from 1 species